UACAUCACCUGGGCUCAUGUUCAGAACCCUAUGCGGAGGGCUCAGUUUUUACCCCUUUUAUACGUGAGGCAACUGAGGCCCAAAUCCAAGCAGGAACGGCUGAUAUGUGAGAAGCUCGAUUUUUAUGGGGAAACAGUGGAGGAGGAUACAGUUCAGUGGUGCUGAAUUAUAAGACUCUCGACAGAGCAGCGUGGGACAUCGGCUGCUCCCAUCGCCUGGCAUCUGUGGGGUUCGAGUCGGGCUAAUGUCAUUUGGAGCAGCCAUGUGCUUGGUGGAAAAACUACAUUUCCCACUCUCCACUGCAGCCAGGGGGUUGGCCAAGUGACAUCCACAUGGCCAUCAACACAUAAGGAGAAACUGACAGAUGGGACCUCUGGGAAUGUUCUUUAAAGAGGAGAGACCCAGCCUUUUGCCCUUCCUGGAUACAGAGACUGAACCUGGAAUAUGGAAGGAGUGCUGUGGGUGCUGCAGCAGCCACCUUGUGACCAUGAGGAAACUAACCAUGAGGAUGAAACCACACGCUAAGGAAGUGAAGGAUUAGAGAGACAGAGUCCAGACCCCUGCUGGCCUCAUGCAGCUGCCAUACCAGCCCUAUGCUGCCUACCUCCAAACUGCAGGUACGUGAAAACAUCAAUCCUUUACAAGUUUCAGCCACUGUAAAUAAAGGUAUUC